UAACAAAAAAAAAAAAAUACAGUAUAAACUUUUAAUAAUUGUAGAACAAGGAUGUACUAUACAGGAAGGGUCUAUUUCUUCCUUGUAUAUUGUAAUAAAGAACAGGUCAGAUAACUCCUGUUUUAAGUUAAGCCAUGUUAUUUGAUGAGUUGUGCUUCCUGAAACAAAAUAAUAGCAUUAUUUGUGUACAAAUUUCCUGUGUAAUAUGUCUUGUUAAUUAUUUGUAUUCACAUAUUAUUGACCUCGAGAUUAACAUAUUGCCACUAUUAACCAUUAACCGACUAAUAUGUCCAUUCAAUGCAAAGAAGUUUUCUUAGUAUAUUUUAAUAUUUUUUUUUAAAAUAAACAAGCGAAGUCUACAAUAUAUGUUUACUUUCGGUGAAAUACCUGGAAAAUUUUGAUCAAAUCUUGUGUAGUGUCGUAGCAGUCCACAGAGUGGUAUGGACCUAUCUGAAUAAUAUAAUAGACGGAUUUAUGUUUUUUAUAAUAUUAGGUUACCAAGAGUUAAAGGAAUAGAACAUACAUUUAAAUAGAUAAAACAUAGAGACUUUAUAUUUGUACAUUUAUCAGUUCUGUUUCAUUUUCCUUGCAAUUAAAUGUAUCUGAUUUAGUCAGAUAGUUAUUAGCCCAAUGAUUAUUCACUGAUAUUUGAAUACCUAUGCAUAUUAACUUCUUUAAUGGAAAUUAAAUAAUUUAAUGCUAACUUUCAUACAUUGAUUGCAAUAUCCAACAUUUUAUCAUCAGGAUUUUUCGUUAAUGCUUCAAUAUAUUAUGAGCCUUUUUGGACUUGGGAACUCUAUAGAGUAUGUUACCUACGUGGCAGAGCCUUUGGGAUUUUGUUAAACAGAUUGCAAAUCUAUGGCCUAGAAAUAAAACAUUUAUACCUGUUUUAAAUGUCUGUGUCUAGAUAUGUUUCUUUUGUGGUGAAUGACUUCAUUCAUAUUAUCGUUUUGUUUUUACAUAUAAAAUUGUCUGAUAUAUUUUCGAUUUGUAAAUUCAAUUUGUAAUUAACUUGUAAAUACUGUAAAUAAAUAUAUUUUUUUAAAAAGAAAA